GUGCUCACUUUGACAGCAUAUAUACUAAAACUGGAAUAAUACAGAGACGAUAAGCCUGGUCUGUUACCCAAGGAUGACAUGCAAAUUCAUGUUUCAUAGUUUU